UACAGAGGUCCCGAGCGUUGUUCGGAUUCAUUGGGCGUAAAGGGUGCGUAGGCGGCGGGGUAAGUCUGAUGUGAAAUCCUGGGGCUCAACCCCAGAACUGCAUUGGAUACUGCCUUGCUAGAGUACUGGAGAGGAAACUGGAAUUUACGGUGUAGCAGUGAAAUGCGUAGAGAUCGUAAGGAAGACCAGUGGCGAAGGCGAGUUUCUGGACAGUAACUGACGCUGAGGCACGAAGGCCAAGGGAGCAAACGGG
rnacentral:rRNA from 1 species